UACAGAGGGGGCAAGCGUUGUUCGGAAUUACUGGGCGUAAAGGGCGCGUAGGCGCCUUCUAAGUCAGACGUGAAAUCCCCUCGGCUCAACCGGGGAACUGCGUCUGAGACUGGAAGGCUUGAAUCCGGGAGAGGGAUGUGGAAUUCCAGGGUGUAGCGGUGAAAUGCGUAGAUAUCUGGAGGAACACCGGUGGCGAAGGCGGCAUCCUGGACCGGUAUUGACGCUGAGGCGCGAAAGCCAGGGGAGCAACGGG
rnacentral:rRNA from 1 species